rnacentral:rRNA from 1 species
GUAGGUGGCAAGCGUUGUCCGGAAUUAUUGGGCGUAAAGCGCGCGCAGGCGGUUCUUUAAGUCUGAUGUGAAAGCCCACGGCUCAACCGUGGAGGGUCAUUGGAAACUGGAGAACUUGAGUACAGAAGAGGAAAGCGGAAUUCCACGUGUAGCGGUGAAAUGCGUAGAGAUGUGGAGGAACACCAGUGGCGAAGGCGGCUUUCUGGUCUGUAACUGACGCUGAGGCGCGAAAGCGUGGGGAGCAAACAGGAUUAGAUACCCUGGUAGUCCACGCCGUAAACGAUGAGUGCUAAGUGUUAGGGGGGUUUUCCGCCCCCCUUAGUGCUGCAGCUAACGCAUUAAGCACUCCGCCUGGGAGUACGGUCGCAAGACUG